rnacentral:lncRNA from 1 species
UCAGCGCCGAUGAGUUUGAAGGAAUAACCCUCACGCAAACAGACAUUGGUAUAGUUUCUUUUAAAUGAUUAACUCAGUUUUUUUUUUGUUGUUUUUGUUUUGUUUUUUAUGAACAGCUCAAUUGUUCAUAGAUUGCUGAAAUAUAACUUUUUAUGAUACAUUUUUCAGAUCUGUUAGCCAGGGCUGAAAGAUUGGUAUCCGAAGACAACCAAGAAACUGAAAAAGCAGUAAAAGCAUUGCUGUGUAACUGAAAUUGGUGAAAUUGAGAUUGAGAGGGAAACCUCGGCACUUCAACAUGGGACUGACUCAAGUAAGCAGACGAACAAACUCUCCAGAAGACGUGUGAGACAGCCAGGAGGACCGAAGUCGACUGUACAAGAACCAUCAAAACAGAACCUUCAAACGUGCGCCUCUCUGAGCACUGUGACUCCCACGGCCUUUCCACCCUCCCGUGAACCUUCUGCCCCUGCGAGGAGACGUAGAAUACGGCAAGCGUGUACCACUCUGACCCCUGUACUUACAGCGGCACCCACGGCAGCUCCACUCUCUGCGAGGCCGAUAAGGAGACGUAGGAACCAGAGACACAAGUCUAACAUUGUCAGGAGAUUGUUUGAUGGUAUAUUUUAUACUAUAUCUUCUUGACUAAUAAUAAUAAUAAUAAUAAUAUAUAAAAAAAAUAAUAACUCAUCUCUCAUCUAAUUACAGAUUCAGGGUUGAGAUUAAACGAGAGCGUUCCUGAACCGUCCUUCGACCGGGUGGAGGGGGAUACGGGGGGCAACGAUCAUCCCCAACAACAGCACAAGCACCACGAGAGCGUUCGUCAACCGUCCUUCGACAGGGUGGAGGGGGAUACAGUCGGAUACAUUCAUUCCCAACAACAGCACGAGCACCACGAGAGCGUUCCUGACAGGGUGGAGGGGGAUACAGGCUGCUACAUUCAUUCCCAACACCCCCAAGACAAGGUAGUGCUGGAGAUUUUCAAUAAUGUCAUACGGUAUAUUGUUUCCUCCAAUUGUAACCAAAGGUGU